CUCCUCUCCCACUUCCUCUCGCCCGCGCGCGGCUGGGGAAAAGGCACCCGUCCUUCUCGUCUGUUCCUCUUCCUCCGCCGAUCCGUGUUGAUUUGCCCGAUUCGAUUCGGUCACAACCCGUGCUGUAAUCGCUCUCGAGUCGACGGCUAGCUGCCUCCUCUAGAUUCCUUAUCUUUCCGGUGAACUGUCGUCGUCGUCGUCGUUUGAUAGGAUACGUAUAUGAGGUAGUCAGAUUGGUGCCGUUGCCCCAACUGGUUGUUAGAUCUUAUGAACGUUCCUAAGACCAUGAAGACCUACUGCAGGAACAAGGAGUGCAGGAAGCACCCUUCACAAGGUGACUCAGUACAAGAAGGGUAAGAAUAGCCUUUCUGCCUAGGGAAAGCGUCGUUAUGACCGCAAGCAGUCAGGAUAUGGUGGUCAGACCAUGCCCGUCUUCCACAAGGCGAAGACCUCGAAGAAGAUUGUGCUGAAGCUGUAGUGCCAGAGCUGCAAGCACUAUUCCCAGCACCCGAUCAAGGUGCAAGCAUUUUGAGAUUGGUGGAGACAAAAGGGGAAGGGAACAUCUCUGUUCUAGAUUGCUCAUCGCUUAUCUGAAUGCUGGAGUUGUGGUGUCUACUACUGUUCUUAAAACCUGUGGUCAAAUUUCAGUGUUACUAGUAGUUCUUAAAGCGGACCAGGCUUAUGUAUCCAACUUCAAAUGCCUGACAUUUGCUCUGAGUGUUGGUUGAGUUUUGGCUAAAUGAGGUUUUUUAGCUUGAAUCUGUUUUUUGUCUUCGAUUGUUGCAGCCAUCGUGAUUCGUGUGAAGUUGUCUGAAUCUGUGCUGCUGGAUCACCAGGAUGGGUGCUCGAGUCUACAACUUUAGGUCUAAUAUGUGUUUGUUGACUGUUGUUGGCGGCUUGGCUCCUAAUUGCAAAGCGUUCUUUUGUUUUUU